CAAAAAGGGAAUAACACUUAGUGCAUGCUGGUCUCCCUCCUCUCUUUUGUUACCUUUAUUCAUUCUUUCAUUCAAAGAUAACAAGAAGAGAAAACCCUAGCUAGCCUCCACCGCCGCCGAACGGAGUGACCGAUUGCCGCCGUCUGUGGCUGUCCGAAGAGUUUCUCUUUGUACUGUCGGUAUUUUUCCAAGUCAGAUCCCCUAUUUGAUGUCUUCUUCAUCACUCGGCGGCCAUCCUCCGUCGGAUUCUUCCUGCUGCUUGCGGUCGUCUUGUCGCCGUCGUCUCGGCGUCAUUAUCUCGAAGAUUAUAGAGAAAAAAAACCAAUAACUUGAAACACUUGCACACAAACAUGCCCAAUCCUAACAACAGCUUCCCGAUGGAUCCUUUCUUGGGUCCUUUCCCUGUUCUCAGAACCUUGGUUGUAACCAUGAGAAAAAAUGGAUAGACAAUAUGAUUUGUUAGAGAUGAUUGCACCGCCAAAAGAGAGCUGGAAGAUUCAUGUCAGAGUAAUCAGACUCUGGUCUUUACCAAAAUUCAAAGACCCCAAAUCCAGUAGCUCUAUUGAAAUGGUAUUGAUGGAUGAGUAGGGAACAACUAUGCAUGCUUCUGUAGGUGAGGAUCUGAUAACUGUGUUCGAGUCAUUGAUAUCGGAAGGAACUGUGUAUGUUUUUACAUACUUUGGAGUUAACAACAACUGUGGGUUGUAUCGCACAACAUCGCAUCAAUUUUGGUUGUUUUUUUAAGAUAGAACUACUGUCUUACCCUCUUUCUGUGAUGCAAUACCGUUAUAUGGUAUUAAGUUGGUCCCUUUUAGGGAAAUUAUGGGAUACUCUCCUCAUCAUCCUUUUUUGGUUGGUAAGUGUAUAAUUUAUGGCAAGUACACAAGUUGAUUUUUUUUUUUAAUUAUGACAAAAUAUCACUAAAAGGUGUGAUUUGGGCACAUUUUUCUGUUUGAUAUUUAUUUAAGACGUUGCUGGAGUUAUGGCCGGCG